UGGGGAAUAUUGCACAAUGGGCGCAAGCCUGAUGCAGCCAUGCCGCGUGUGUGAAGAAGGCCUUCGGGUUGUAAAGCACUUUCAGCGAGGAGGAAGGUGGUGAGCUUAAUACGCUCAUCAAUUGACGUUACUCGCAGAAGAAGCACCGGCUAACUCCGUGCCAGCAGCCGCGGUAAUACGGAGGGUGCAAGCGUUAAUCGGAAUUACUGGGCGUAAAGCGCACGCAGGCGGUUUGUUAAGUCAGAUGUGAAAUCCCCGGGCUCAACCCGGGAACUGCAUUUGAAACUGGCAAGCUAGAGUCUCGUAGAGGGGGGUAGAAUUCCAGGUGUAGCGGUGAAAUGCGUAGAGAUCUGGAGGAAUACCGGUGGCGAAGGCGGCCCCCUGGACGAAGACUGACGCUCAGGUGCGAAAGCGUGGGGCAGCAAACAGGAUUAGAUACCCUGGUAGUCCAGCGCUGUAAACGAUGUCGAUUUGGAGGUUGUGCCCUUGAGGCGUGGCUUCCGGAGCUAACGCGUUAAAUCGACCGCCUGGGGAGUACGGCCGCAAGGUUAAAACUCAAAUGAAUUGAC
rnacentral:rRNA from 1 species